rnacentral:lncRNA from 10 species
UUGUUUUGUUGUUCCCCGAGAGCCAGCUGUGCUGCGUCAUAAUGUGAACACUAAGGUGGAAGGAACAUCAUCUUCAGGCCCCAGAGCUCCCUACAGCCUGACACCAGCUGCUUUACACACUUCCUAGCCCUGACAGCAUCUGACUCCGUGACCCAUGAAAUAAACCACCCCUUUCCUACCUCUGUUGUCUGCUAGGUAUACAUCUAUCCUUAGGUUUGUUUCUGGACUCUGCAGCCCCCUGCUACUCAAAGUGUGCUCCUCAGACAAGCAGCAUCAUCCAGCUCUCAUUGGAAAUGCAGAAUUUUGGGUCCCAUCCCAGACUUCCUGAACCAGAACCUGCACUUCAGCCAGGUCCCCAGCGGACAUGCCUGCACAAUAAACUUGGAGAAGCCCAACUCUGGUCCAUAACAUUUUUUUUUCUUUUUUUUGAGACACAGUCUCACUCUGUCUCCCAGGCUGGAGUACAGUGGCAUGACCUCAGCUCACUGCAACCUCCGCCUACUGGGUUCAACCCAGCCAAACCGCG